GGAAGUGUAACUCAGUGGUAUAGAGUGCUGGCCUGGCAUGCACAAGGCCCUGGGUUCAAUCCCCAGCACUUCAA
rnacentral:tRNA from 1 species